GCAGAGCCCAGGCGCGUGGGUCGGUGUCGGGUGUGUGUGUACGUCUGUGUGUGUAAUGAAACUGGACGCCUUCCUUCCCGGCGAUCUUGACUUAACCUGUCAGCAGAGGGCUUGAGGUUAGACCACAGGUUGAACCUAGGUGGCUGCUGGAGAGAAACACUCUGUCUUCCUGCUUUGAGGACAGCUGAAGUCUUGCCACUUCUUCUGGAUGCUCUGACCAUCAGUAAGAGACACGGUCUGACUUUGUUACCCCGGCUGGAGUGCAGUGGUGCAAUCAUGGCUCACUGCAGCCUUAACCUCCUGGGCUCAAGUGAUCCUCUCGCCAAGGCUAGGAUAAGUAGCUAGGACUACAGAUGCGCCCCAUCACGCCCAGCUAAUUUUACAACUUCUGUAGAGAUGGAGUGUUGCUGGGUUGCCCAGGCUGGUCUUGAAUUCCUGGGCUCAAGCGAUCCUCCUGUGUCCGGAAUUGGUGGGUUCUUGGUCUCACUGACUUCAAGAAUGAAGCCGCGGACCCUCGCGAGUCUGUAUCCACCAGCUACUCUUCCAGAUUCAUGAGGCAAGGCCUGCCUGCUCACCUGGCUGGCCCCAAGCACCUCUUCAACCUGUUGCCACCGUCCUGCCUUGCUGCCCUUCUCAGCUCAUCCAGCAGGGUCUCCAAGUCGUGGAAACAGAAGCACAUAUACACACAUGCUCAUAUGUACAUGCCCACAGUCACAUAAGCACACCGAGAAACACCAUCGCAGACAUGUUCUCACAAGCACAUGUGCAUAACACUCACUACCCCUCACGCGUAUACACAUUAAUACACACACUCAUGCACACUCAGUCUUACACACACAGACACACAGCCAUAAUCACUGUUGUUGGUUGAAUUGUGCCCCCCCAUCCCCACCAAAAAGAUAAGUUGGAGUCCUAACCCCCAGUACCUGGGGAUGUGACCGUAGUUGGAAAUAGGGUGUUUGUAGAUGUAAUCAAAUUAAGAUGAGAUCUUACUGGAUUAGAGUGGGCCUUAAAUCCAGUGACUGGUGUCCUUAUAAGGAGAAAAAGAUUUGAAAACAGAGACAUGGAGACACAGAGCAGAAGGCCAUGUGAUGAUGGAGUCAGAGAUUGGAGUGAUGCAGCUAUGAGCCGAGAAAUACCAAGGUGCUGGCAGCCCCCAGAAGCAAGGAGAGAGGCAAGGAACAAUCUCCAUCAGAGCCUCUGGAAGAAACAGACUCUGCCAACACCUUGAUUUCAGACUUUUGGCCUCCUUCACUGUGCGAGAAUACGUUUCUGUUGUUUUAAACUACUGAGUCACCAAGUCUGUGGUACUGUGUUAUGGCAGCCCCGGCAACAAAUCCAAUCACACACACACACACACACACACACACACACACACACACACACACACACACAGCUGGCUCCAGGCUCAGUGAUGAGCUCAGAGGAGUUCCCCUUGGGAGCUGCUCUUUCUCUGUCUUCCUUCCUUAGUGAUUGGUCCAGUGGAUCCACAAAAGCUCAUGGCCCAGAGCAGGAGCCCAGUCAUUUUUAAUUCCUCUUCCCUGGAGUUCUUAACCAUGCGUUGCCCUCAAAAUCUGCUCUCAAGAUUUGGGUUGCCAUAUUUAGGAGCACCAGAAAACAUACAGGAAUGCUGUGUCUGCUUGCAUCAUAUUAAUUAAAAACUGGAAAUAACCUAAAUGUCCCAGAAUAGGUACAUAAACUGUGGCAUAUCCACUUAAUGGAAUACUACUCAGCAAUACAAAAGGAAAACCUAGUGUUACUUGAGCAACAUGGAUGAACUUCACAGACAUAAUAUUGCACAGCACGAGGCAGACACAAAAGUGUGCAUAUGCUAUGAUUCCAUUUACAUGAGAUUCAAGAACAGGCAAAGCAGAUCUAUGGGGAUAGAAGUCAGAAUAGUGGUUACCUCUGGAAGGUGGAAUUGACUGGGAGGGGCUUCAGGGAACCUCCUGGGGUGCUGAAAACAUUCUGUGCUUGCACCGGGUGGUGGUUAUGUGGGCAUUACAUAAAAUUCACCAAGCUGCACCCUUAAUGAUUUGUACAAUUUGAUGCACAAAUCUAACAUCUCAAGAAGAAUAAAUUUUACAAAGUACCUAAGAAGCAAAUGACCAGAA
rnacentral:lncRNA from 1 species